CAGAGGUCCCGAGCGUUGUUCGGAUUCACUGGGCGUAAAGGGUGCGUAGGUGGCGAGGUAAGUCGGAUGUGAAAUCUCCAAGCUCAACUUGGAAAUGGCAUUGGAAACUACCAUGCUUGAGGUUUGAGGGGGGACUGGAAUACUUGGUGUAGCAGUGAAAUGCAUAGAUAUCAAGUGGAACACCAGUGGCGAAGGCGAGUCCCUGGACAACACCUGACACUGAGGCACGAAAGCUAGGGGAGCAAACAGGAUUAGAUACCCUGGUAGUCCUAGCUGUAAACGGUGCUUGCUUGCUGUAAAAGGAAUCGACCCCUUUUGUGGCGAAGCCAACGCGUUAAGCAAGCCGCCUGGGAAGUACGGUCGCAAGAUUA
rnacentral:rRNA from 1 species